rnacentral:rRNA from 1 species
AGAGUUUGAUCAUGGCUCAGGAUGAACGUUGGCGGCGUGCCUAACACAUGCAAGUCGAACGGGAAGCUGAUUUUCGAAUUGGUGGAGAGUGGCGCACGGGUGCGUAACACGUAGCUUACCUGCCCCGAAGACCGGGAUAACCUGCGGAAACGUGGGCUAAUACCGGAUAAGCUCACGCUUUGUAGAGGAGUGUGAGAGAAGCUUUAGUGCUUUGGGAUGGGGCUGCGGCCCAUCAGCUAGUUGGUAGGGUAAAAGCCUACCAAGGCGACGACGGGUAGGGGGCCUGAGAGGGUGGCCCCCCACACUGGGACUGAGACACGGCCCAGACUUCUACGGAAGGCAGCAGUGAGGGAUAUUGCGCAAUGGGCGAAAGCCUGACGCAGCGACGCCGCGUGGGUGAAGAAGGUUUUCGGAUCGUAAAGCCCUUUUCUGUGUGACGAUAAUGACGGUAGCACAGGAAGAAGUGUCGGCUAACUACGUGCCAGCAGCCGCGGUAAAACGUAGGACGCGAACGUUAUCCGGAAUUACUGGGCGUAAAGGGCGCGCAGGCGGUGGAUUAAGUUAGGCAUGAAAGCUCCCUGGCUAAACCGGGAGAGGAUGUCUGAUACUGAUUUACUAGAGUGUGUUAGAGGGGUGUAGAAUUCCGCGUGUAGUGGUGAAAUGCGUAGAGAUGCGGAGGAAUACCAGUGGCGAAGGC